rnacentral:rRNA from 1 species
AACGAACGCUGGCGGCGUGCUUAACACAUGCAAGUCGAACGGGGACUCAAUAAGAAGAAGUUUUUCGGAAUUUCUUGUUAUUGAGUCUUGCGUGGCAGACGGGUGAGUAAUAUAUGGAAAUCUACCUUUUAGUUCAGAAUAACGACUGGAAACGGUCGCUAAUACUGGAUAAGCCCGAGAGGGGAAAGGCUUGCCGCUAAGAGAGGAGUCCAUAUCUGAUUAGGUAGUUGGUGGGGUAAGAGCCUACCAAGCCGAUGAUCAGUAGCUGGUUUGAGAGGAUGAUCAGCCACACUGGGACUGAGACACGGCCCAGACUCCUACGGGAGGCAGCAGUGGGGAAUAUUGGACAAUGGGCGAAAGCCUGAUCCAGCGACGCCGCGUGGGUGAUGAAGGUCUUCGGAUUGUAAAGCCCUUUUGUUAGGGAAGAUAAUGACGGUACCUAACGAAUAAGUCCCGGCUAACUUCGUG